GCCUCGAUAGCUCAGUCGGUAGAGCAUCUCCAUGGUAAGGAGAAGGUCAGGGGUUCAAGUCCCCUUCGGGGCU
rnacentral:tRNA from 1 species